AUUGAACGCUGGCGGCAUGCUUUACACAUGCAAGUCGAACGGUAACACGCCUUUGGGUGUUGACGCGUGGGGAGCGGGUGUGUGAUAUACAGGAGAGUGCCCCGAGGUGGGGGAUAAAGCAGCGAGAGCUGUGCUUUUAUACCACGUGAUAUGAGGAUGAAAACGGGGGGGCAGGAAGGAAUGUUUGGCCUUGCGGCUUUGGAUGGGCGGAUGUCAGAUUUGGUGGUUGGUGGGGUAAAGGCCUACCAAGCCGACGAUCUGUAGCUGGUCUGAGAGGACGACCAGCCACACUGGGACUGAGACACGGCCCAGACUCCUACGGGAGGCAGCAGUGGGGAAUUUUGGACAAUGGGCGCAAGCCUGAUCCAGCAAUGCCGCGUGCGGGAAGAAGGCCUUCGGGUUGUAAACCGCUUUUGUACGGAACGAAAAGCUUUUGGCUAAUACCUCGGGGGGAUGACGGUACCGGAAGAAUAAGCACCGGCUAACUACGUG
rnacentral:rRNA from 1 species